rnacentral:sRNA from 1 species
GAACAGUUCGCUGAGUGUAUCUGCAGGAAGCUACGGGUCUCAGUGUGAAUGGGGUCACAGUGAUGGAGAGUACGGGGAAAAUCUCUACGGUGGAAGUCCAAUCAAUAAAAACCACGCUGCACUUGCCACUUCUGCUGUAACUAGCUGGGUGUCAGAGAAAGCAGUACAGGACCCCCCUGCAUGGAAAUGCUUCACCACUAAGCCCACAUGUGGUCACUAUAGCCAGGUCGUUUGGAGCAGAACAACAUCGGUUGGCUGUGCAAUCAUACACUGCCCCGAUCUGGACAACUAUGUCCUCUGUCAGUACUGGCCCCCUGGCAACUACAGAGGACAGAAACCUUACUAAUGUGCUGGCAUUCUAUAGAGUUCAGGUUUUGUGAUCAAGUUCAAUACAAAACGAAACGUAUCCAUUAGAUUUAAUGAUAUUGGUAUAGACAUCUCAAGCCAUCAUUACAUCUAAAAUUAAAGAGAAAUUUGAACACCUUUGAAAGAAGAUGUCAGUGUCAAGUGAAAGUGCAAGGACUAAACAAGAAGAGAACAAUGGUGACUUAAAUACACAAUUGAACUUUGAAGAUUGAAAAUAAAACCAAAAUUGAUCGGAACACGCUCUUUC